rnacentral:misc_RNA from 1 species
GAUGAAGAACGCAGCGAAAUGCGAUAAGUAAUGUGAAUUGCAGAAUUCAGUGAAUCAUCGAAUCUUUGAACGCACAUUGCGCCCGCCAGUAUUCUGGCGGGCAUGCCUGUUCGAGCGUCAUUACAACCCUCAGGCCCCCGGGCCUGGCGUUGGGGAUCGGCGGAGCCCCCCGUGGGCACACGCCGUCCCCCAAAUACUGUGGCGGUCCCGCCGCAGCUUCCAUCGCGUAGUAGCUAACACCUCGCGACUGGAGAGCGGCACGGCCACGCCGUAAAACACCCAACUCUUCUGAAGUUGACCUCGAAUCAGGUAGGAAUACCCGCUGAACUUAAGCAUAUCAAUAAGCGGAGGA